CUGAGAUAGAUGGGGAGUUAGCGGUGCCCUGUAACCUGCAAUCCGCUAUAGCAGGAUUGAACGCUUGCUUAGGAGUAAUUUGGUUGAAGAUGUGCGUAGGAUAGGGGCGUUGAAAUCAAGGUCUUAUGCAAUUGGUAACUCUGAACCAUGUCAGGUCCUGACGGAAGCAUCAUUAAGGAGAUCUAUCGAUGUGCCAUAAGGUAGCUUUGGUGGAGUUUUUGUUCUACGAAACAGUCAGUCUUAUUAUUUCGAAGCAUUCUCUCAG
rnacentral:SRP_RNA from 1 species